GGGUCUGUAGCUUAGUCGGUAGAGCGGCGGACUCUUAAUCCGCAGGCCAGGGGUUCGAGUCCCUUCAGGCCCGC
rnacentral:tRNA from 2 species